rnacentral:rRNA from 1 species
AGGGCAUUUGGUGGAUGCCUUGGCAUGCACAGGCGAUGAAGGACGUGAUAUGGUGCGCUAAGCUAUGGGGAGCUGCAAAUAAGCAUUGAUCCGUAGAUUUCCGAAUGGGGUAACCCGCCUUAUGUGCCUAGGAAACUGAACUAAGUUGGUUUAAUUUUCUAGGUAU